rnacentral:misc_RNA from 1 species
UUAAGUUCAGCGGGUAGCCUUGCCUGAUCUGAGAUCACGAGCACGGGUUGAUCGUCGACAACACUGGACGGCAUCGCUGCCACCAUUAUAUCACGACGAUCGCGAGCAAUUCGAGGCGAUCAGUGCUGAAGGCCCAUGUCGACCAACUGCACGGGGUGCGAUCGGAUCAGUGAUGGUGUGAUUCUCAGACAGGCAUACCU